UGCUAAAAUCAUUUAAGUUAUUUUUUUUCCCUCAUUAAUGUACACACAGCACCCCAUAUUGACAGAAAAACACAGAAUUGUUGACAUUUUUGCAGAUUUAUUAAAAAAGAAAAACUGAAAUAUCACAUGGUCCUAAGUAUUCAGACCCUUUGCUCAGUAUUUAGUAGAAGCACCCUUUUGAUCUAAUACAGCCAUGAGUCUUUUUCACUUCCUGAAACAUCAUCGCUCCACCUACAAUCCGCCUCCCGUUCGAUUCCUAUAAAUCUCCUCGUGACCAUAAGAACAUCCAAAGUUCGUGACUGGAAAAACUUCCUCUAAGCCAGAGUACACAAAGGUGUGCCAUCUCUGUAAAGCACAAAGAGGAUAAGACAGUCUAAGUUUACCAAACAGAAAAAUGGAGCCCCAAGAAGACUGGAAUACAUCAGAGAAAUCCAAGCUGUUGCAGCCUGGGCCGCCACCAUACCAGGACCAUCAGCCUCCUCCAGGGAACUUCCAGAGCACUUCUGGCUAUCAAGCCCAGCAAUAUGGAGCUUCAGGGCCAUACGGCCAAGGACCGUAUCCAGGACAUGCUGCGGUCAUUGUGCAACCUGCAGUUUAUGUGACCACCACUCCACUGGUGUAUCCAAUGCCAGAUUACCUGGGUUACUCCAUCUUUACCAUGUUGUGCUGCUGCUUACCUCUGGGCAUUGCUGCACUGGUUUUCUCUAUCAAUACUCGGAAUGCCAACAUGUCUGGACAACAACAGUUAGCAGAGAGAAACUCCAAAUUGGCGUUCACUUUUAACAAUACUGCUCUUGGUGUUGGCAUUGUCAUCUUGGUGUUGUAUGUCACUCUCAUCAUUGUCAACUCUAAAAACCAACCAAACCCAUAAUUGUUCAGGACACCAGAGUUGGACACCAGGAAUGACAAGAUAGAAGGCUUUCUAAAAACUAAAAUUGUAUAAUGACACAAGUAUACAUUUUUAAUGAAUUUACAUUUUCAUCUGAAAGAUCAGUCUGGCUCAUCUCUAGCGUAAAAUUGUUCAUGUUACUAAAACAUGCUUUAUAGUUGAUUAUCUUAUGUUUCAAAACCAUACAAACUGUGACUCUCACUGUAUAAUUAUUGAUGUUUGUUUUUCUUCCUGUCUUUUGAUUAUGUAUUUAAUUAAAACUUUCGAUGACCAAUAAUACAUACCCGUUUUCUUUGUUUAAAACCAUUUGUGUGGUUUUACCUGAGCACUGUCCAUUCGUAUUCCCGAAUAAAUCACUCUAAUACGCCGGUUAAGGCAGUUUUUUGGAGAAUGUUUCUUACGUAAAUGCCUGUGCAUGACAAUGAAAAACAUAAACAGAUUCAACAAAUUCGGAGCUCCAUGUGGUCUGUAGUUUUCCUAUGGGCUUUGCUGCUAUUGUUUACUCUCUGUGAGUAUUGUUAACGUUUUUAUCACAUAGACAACAAAAUAAACUUUUAUAUGAC
rnacentral:lncRNA from 1 species